UAGGGAAUCUUCCGCAAUGGGCGAAAGCCUGACGGAGCAACGCCGCGUGAGUGAAGAAGGAUUUCGGUUCGUAAAGCUCUGUUGUUAGGGAAGAAUGAUUGUGUAGUAACUAUACACAGUAGAGACGGUACCUAACCAGAAAGCCACGGCUAACUACGUGCCAGCAGCCGCGGUAAUACGUAAGUGGCAAGCGUUGUCCGGAAUUAUUGGGCGUAAAGCGCGCGCAGGUGGUUUAAUAAGUCUGAUGUGAAAGCCCACGGCUCAACCGUGGAGGGUCAUUGGAAACUGUUAAACUUGAGUGCAGGAGAGAAAAGUGGAAUUCCUAGUGUAGCGGUGAAAUGCGUAGAGAUUAGGAGGAACACCAGUGGCGAAGGCGGCUUUUUGGCCUGUAACUGACACUGAGGCGCGAAAGCGUGGGGAGCAAACAGGAUUAGAUACCCUGGUAGUCCACGCCGUAAACGAUGAGUGCUAAGUGUUGGUCUCAUAAGAGAUCAGUGCUGCAGCUAACGCAUUAAGCACUCCGCCUGGGGAGUACGACCGCAAGGUU
rnacentral:rRNA from 1 species